ACAGGCUUCGACGGGAGAGGCUGGUUCCGGAAUGCGAGCCGAGAGGCGCCGAACUCGUAAACUCAGCGCAAAAAAUCAAGUGCCAAUCGCACUUCCUACGCUGCUAUGCCCCUCGCUGCAUAAGCGAUAACAUAACAGCUGGCGCCUACGGGCGUCACGUCCGCCGGCACCGUCCUCCAUCCGGUGACGGACCGGGCGAAACAAUGGUGGAGUGCCGCACACUACGUCACUACCUGUGCGAAAGACCAGUGGCUGGUCGCAGAGAGUUCCUGUCGGACGAGACCUCUGCGAUGACAAACCUCGACCGACUACGCUCGUAGAUUUUCGAGGGUCGAAUCUUUCGGACGCGGGU
rnacentral:tmRNA from 1 species